GAGCAUGGUGACACCCGUCUCGCCACGCCGCUGUUCAACGGGGCACGAUGACGUAGAACAUGUGCCGAUGAAGACCACCAAUCAUUGGCGUGGAAAUGUUAAAACGCCGGUGCGCUGCAAUGUUGUGUUAAAAUUAAAUUGGGUCGCAGCGUGGAAAUGCUAAUCUGGUUGAAAUUGAACCGGCUUCAAGUCCGCCAUUAUUAAUGUAGUGUCUGGUCUCGACAUAAAGCGAAAAUGAUGUAUGGAAACCACAGAAUAUGGCCACGAGAAUACCAUCGUGUCUUACCUCUUCGUUUGUCAUCCUUGGUGGGAACCCAGAUCUUUUGGAUCCUGUUCUGGGGCUGAAGUACGACUGGGUCGCCGCCUUUGGGGUCUCCAUUCUGAUGCACGACUCUGUUUGACCCAAGCAUCGACAGAGAGUCUGCCAAAGCCGUCUGGCAGCCCAAAUCCUUACACAUCCAACAACGUACUUAGAAGAUGGACUCACAGCGAGAGAGUCCCCUGGACAAGCCAGCCAGGCAUGGGGCCUGAAAGACCCACCAGCCAACCAUCACAGGGGAGAAAUCCCUCUUCGUCCGGAUGACCUUAUCGGGUGAAUCAGAUUUAAGCCUACAGUCCUUACUUCAGCGUCACACCCCAGAGGACAGAAUCCCUACAUGCCGAAAACAGCUUUGUUAAUUUUUCCACAGGUAUUACAGGAAAGCUGACUAGAGACGGCGUGGAUCGGCCUCCUUUACCCACUUCCCAAGCUGAAAGCAAAAAGGAGCUUAAAUCACGUCAGCAACCGGGUCAGAGACUGCAGGCAGGACGUCGGGCCAGCCUACCCUCGACCACUUGUCGGCUAGCCACAGAGCCGCUAGCACACUGCUGAAAGAACCAACAUUUUCCCUUUCCACUGCUCUCUUCCUUGGACGGCCAAAGUGAAUUGAACUCACACGAGGCACCGACAGGUUUUACAGAGAAAUAAACAUGGAAAGCUAAAUGGUUUGUUUGGAAAUCUUGUGUAACGUCCACAUGGUGUUUUAAACACAGGGCUGAGCAACAUAGCUCCCGUUAGCAUGUUGAUACCAUGUCAUUGCCUAUGAAAUUCGAGUGUGUUUUUAUCGUUAUUACAAAAUAUCUCCACAAGAGUUGUAUACACUGAUGGGAUAUUUAUGUUUGUUUUAUCCUUUGCACUCAUUACGACUAAAUUAAAUCCAAAGUUUUAAAGUUAGGGUUGAAAGUCCGCUAGCCUAAACGCUAUUAGCUUCUGGUGAGAUCUGGUUUCCGGAUAUCCAGCUACGACUCGUUCCAAGCAUAAGCCUUGUUUGUUUCGCUCCUCCAUCAUUCGAUAGUGCUAUGAGCGUUAUUGCCACAUUAAUUAAUAUGGAAUAUUAAUGUCGACUUAAAGGCGUUUUUUUUA